GUUAGCUCAGUUGAUUAGAGCAUGGUGCUGAUAAUGCCAAGGUCAUUGGUUCAAUCCCCAUAUGGGCCA